AUUGAACGCUGGCGGCAGGCUUAACACAUGCAAGUCGAGCGAGCGGCGGACGGGUGAGUAAUGUCUGGGAAACUGCCUGAUGGAGGGGGAUAACUACUGGAAACGGUAGCUAAUACCGCAUACCAUCAGAUGUGCCCAAAUGGGCUUAGCUAGUCGGGGGGGUAAUGGCUCACCUGGGCGACGAUCCCUAGCUGGUCUGAGAGGAUGACCAGCCACAUGGGAACUGAGACACGGUCCAGACUCCUAAGGGAGGAAGCAGUGGGUAAUAUUUCACAAUGGGCGCAAGCCUGAUGCAGCCAUGCAGCGUGUGUGAAGAAGGCCUUAGGGUUGUAAAGCACUUUCAGCGAGGAGGCGUUACUCGCAGAAGAAGCACCGGCUAACUCCGUGCCAGCAGCCGCGGUAAUUC
rnacentral:rRNA from 1 species